GGCGGCAGGGCUAACACAUGCAAGUCGAGCGGCAGCGGGGGGAAGCUUGCUUCCCCGCCGGCGAGCGGCGGACGGGUGAGUAAUGUCUGGGGAUCUGCCUGAUGGAGGGGGAUAACUACUGGAAACGGUAGCUAAUACCGCAUAACGUCGCAAGACCAAAGUGGGGGACCUUCGGGCCUCACGCCAUCGGAUGAACCCAGAUGGGAUUAGCUAGUAGGUGAGGUAACGGCUCACCUAGGCGACGAUCCCUAGCUGGUCUGAGAGGAUGACCAGCCACACUGGAACUGAGACACGGUCCAGACUCCUACGGGAGGCAGCAGUGGGGAAUAUUGCACAAUGGGGGAAACCCUGAUGCAGCCAUGCCGCGUGUGUGAAGAAGGCCUUCGGGUUGUAAAGCACUUUCAGCGGGGAGGAAGGGGACAAGGUUAAUAACCUUGUUCAUUGACGUUACCCGCAGAAGAAGCACCGGCUAACUCCGUGCCAGCAGCCGCGGUAAUACGGAGGGUGCAAGCGUUAAUCGGAAUGACUGGGCGUAAAGCGCACGCAGGCGGUCUGUUAAGUUGGAUGUGAAAUCCCCGGGCUUAACCUGGGAACUGCAUUCAAAACUGACAGGCUAGAGUCUCGUAGAGGGGGGUAGAAUUCCAGGUGUAGCGGUGAAAUGCGUAGAGAUCUGGAGGAAUACCGGUGGCGAAGGCGGCCCCCUGGACGAAGACUGACGCUCAGGUGCGAAAGCGUGGGGAGCAAACAGGAUUAGAUACCCUGGUAGUCCACGCUGUAAACGAUGUCGAUUUGGAGGUUGUGCCCUUGAGGCGUGGCUUCCGGAGCUAACGCGUUAAAUCGACCGCCUGGGGAGUACGGCCGCAAGGUUAAAACUCAAAUGAAUUGACGGGGGCCCGCACAAGCGGUGGAGCAUGUGGUUUAAUUCGAUGCAACGCGAAGAACCUUACCUACUCUUGACAUCCAGCGAACCCUGUAGAGAUGCGGGGGUGCCUUCGGGAACGCUGAGACAGGUGCUGCAUGGCUGUCGUCAGCUCGUGUUGUGAAAUGUUGGGUUAAGUCCCGCAACGAGCGCAACCCUUAUCCUCUGUUGCCAGCACUUCGGGUGGGAACUCAGGGGAGACUGCCGGUGAUAAACCGGAGGAAGGUGGGGAUGACGUCAAGUCAUCAUGGCCCUUACGAGUAGGGCUACACACGUGCUACAAUGGCGCAUACAAAGAGAAGCGACCUCGCGAGAGCAAGCGGACCUCAUAAAGUGCGUCGUAGUCCGGAUUGGAGUCUGCAACUCGACUCCAUGAAGUCGGAAUCGCUAGUAAUCGUAGAUCAGAAUGCUACGGUGAAUACGUUCCCGGGCCUUGUACCCACCGCCCGUCACACCAUGGGAGUGGGUUGCAAAAGAAGUAGGUAGCCUAACCU
rnacentral:rRNA from 1 species